rnacentral:rRNA from 1 species
AUUGACAGCCAUAUCACCCUGCAGCCCAAGACUGGUUGCUAAGCAGGGUUGAGCCUGGUCAGUACCUGGAUGGGAGACCUCCUGGGAAAACUAGGUUGCUGUUGGAA